rnacentral:tRNA from 1 species
UCCCUGAUGGUCCAGUGGUUAAGACUCAACACUCCCAAUGCAGGGGGCCAGGGUUCAAUCCCUGGUUGGAGAA